GAUGAACGCUGGCGGCGUGCCUAAUACAUGCAAGUCGAGCGAACAGACGAGGAGCUUGCUCCUCUGACGUUAGCGGCGGACGGGUGAGUAACACGUGGAUAACCUACCUAUAAGACUGGGAUAACUUCGGGAAACCGGAGCUAAUACCGGAUAAUAUAUUGAACCGCAUGGUUCAAUAGUGAAAGACGGUUUUGCUGUCACUUAUAGAUGGAUCCGCGCCGCAUUAGCUAGUUGGAAGGUAACGGCUUACCAAGGCAACGAUGCGUAGCCGACCUGGGAGGGUGAUCGGCCACACUGGAACUGAGACACGGUCCAGACUCCUACGGGAGGCAGCAGUAGGGAAUCUUCCGCAAUGGGCGAAAGCCUGACGGAGCAACGCCGCGUGAGUGAUGAAGGUCUUCGGAUCGUAAAACUCUGUUAUUAGGGAAGAACAAAUGUGUAAGUAACUAUGCACGUCUUGACGGUACCUAAUCAGAAAGCCACGGCUAACUACGUG
rnacentral:rRNA from 1 species